ensembl:lncRNA
AUGAACGUUCGCCAUGUUCCGGCAUUUGAGCCAAUCAGCGAUAAGCUUCACUGUACGCGCUCAUUUAACUUCGUUAGUUCAGGAGAAGAUGACUGGGCUACGGCUAAAGCCAGCAGAAGCUACAUCGAACAAACUUCCCUUGUCUGCUUUGUGUUGUGUGAGGAUGUCAUGCUGUGGAUUUUCUCAGGCUUCUCCCUCCCAGAGUCCACCAUCAGCGCACUGACCUUGGAGGGCAGCGCCUUCAUUCCUGAAGGCCGACUAGAAAAACCCUUGCAGAUCCACAGCAGCAGCCCCUGGUACAGCUACAGGACCCCCACCCGCUGCACAGGUGGCGUGUCCUUGAUGCCCGAGCGGCUGCAGUAUUGACCCGAUACGGGGAGGACGUUCCUGAUGGACGUGUCGGGCCCAGAACCGCAUGGUGACCAGUGUGUUCCUUGGAAUAUCUCUCCUGCUGCAUUGUGGGCUUAUUGCUG